rnacentral:rRNA from 1 species
GACAGAGGGUGCGAACGUUGUUCGGAAUUACUGGGCGUAAAGCGCAUGUAGGCGGCAGCGCAAGUCGGGCGUGAAAUCCCACGGCUCAACCGUGGAAGUGCACUCGAAACUGCGCAGCUAGAGUCCUGGAGAGGAAGGUGGAAUGCUUGGUGUAGAGGUGAAAUUCGUAGAUAUCAAGCGGAACACCGGUGGCGAAGGCGGUUCACUGGCCCGGUACUGACGCUGAGGUGCGAAAGCGUGGGGAGCAAACAGG